rnacentral:rRNA from 1 species
UACAGAGGUCCCAAGCGUUGUUCGGAUUCACUGGGCGUAAAGGUGCGUAGGCGGUCGGUAAGUCUGACGUGAAUCUCCAAGCUCAACUUGGAAUGGCGCCGAUACUAUUCGCUCGAGGAGUGGAGGAGACUGAUCUCGUGUAGCAGUGAAUGCGUAGAUAUCGAGAGACACAGUGCGAGCGAGUCUCUGACACUCUGACGCUGAGCACG